UACGGCCAUAGAAUCGAGGAAACGCAGCGUCCCGUCCGCUUCGCUAAGCUAAGCUCGAUAUCGCCUGGGCAGUACCAAGGUCGGGGACGACUUGGGAAUACCGGGUGCUGUAGUU